GGUUCUUAGAAAUAAUUAAGAAUCUGCUCUGCCCACUGCUUAAAAGUAAAAGGCCGCAGUAUUCUGACUGUGCAAAGGUAGCAUAAUAAUUAGUCUUUUAAUUGAAGACUGGAAUGAAAGAGUCGACUGAAAAAAGAUAAUUUUCAAUGAUAAAUAUUAAAUUUUAUUUUUUAGUAAAAAAGCUAAAAUUUCUUUAAAAGACAAGAAGACCCUAUAAAUCUUUACAUGAAAAAUUAAAUUUUACCAUGUUUUGCUGGGGCGGCAUAAAAAUAAAACAUUUUAAAAUUACAUAAAUAACAAAUUUUCAUAACUGAAAUUUUCAAAACUAGAAUAAGAUACUUUAGGGAUAACAGCGUAAUUUACUUUAAAAGUUCCUAUUGACAAGUAAGUUUGCGACCUCGAUGUUGAAUUAAGUUUCCUCCUUUCCGCACAGGGAAAGGGAGGAGGUCUGUUCGACCUUUUAAAACUUCCA
rnacentral:rRNA from 1 species